AACCACUUUUACCCUCAUCUUUAAUAAAGGGUAAAAGACAUUUAUAACCUUUUGAUUAAAUUUGAAAAAAAAACAUACGGUUAACUAAUCUAAACUUAAAACAUAACCUUUAAACCCUAAAUCAUCAACUCUAAACCCUAAACCAUGAAACAUCAGCUCUAAACCCUAAACCCCGAAAUAUCAACUCUAAACCCUAAACCUUCAAAUCUAAACCCUAAAACAUCAACUAUAAACCCUAAACGUAAACUCUAAACCCUAAAUUUAAACUUAAAACAUCAACUUUAAACCCUAAAUCAUCAACUCUAAACCCUAAAAUAUGAAACAUCAACUCUAAACCCUAAACCCCGAAACAUCAACUCUAAACCCUAAACUCUAAACCUUCAAAUCUAAACCCUAAAACACCAACUCUAAACCCUAAAUGUUAACCCUAAACCCUAGAUUUUUCUGAAAUUUGAACCCUAAACCCUAAAACCCUAAACCUUCAAAUCUAA
rnacentral:lncRNA from 1 species